rnacentral:rRNA from 1 species
UACGUAGGCAGCAAGCGUUGUUCGGAAUUACUGGGCGUAAAGAGUGUGUAGGCGGUGCUCUAAGUUCGGUGUGAAAUCUCCCGGCUCAACUGGGAGGGGUGCGCCGGAAACUGGGGGUGCUGGAGCGCGGGAGAGGAAAGCGGAAUUCCUGGUGUAGCGGUGAAAUGCGUAGAUAUCAGGAGGAACACCGGCGGUGUAGACGGCUUUCUGGACCGUAGCUGACGCUGAGACACGAAAGCGUGGGGUAGCAAACAGG